UGCAGCAAUGCCGCGUGUGUGAAGAAGGCCUGCGGGUUGUAAAGCACUUUUAUCAAGGAAAGAAACAGCCUGGGGUUAAUACCCCCGGGCCUUGACGGUACCUGAGGAAUAAGCACCGGCUAACUCCGUGCCAGCAGCCGCGGUAAUACGGAGGGUGCAAGCGUUAAAUCGGAAUUACUGGGCGUAAAGCGAGUGUAGGCGGCUACGUAAGUCGGUUGUGAAAGCCCCGGGCUUAACCUGGGAAUUGCGUUCGAUACUGCGUGGCUAGAGUCUGAUAGAGGGAAGUGGAAUUCCAGGUGUAGCGGUGAAAUGCGUAGAUAUCUGGAGGAACAUCAGUGGCGAAGGCGGCUUCCUGGAUCAAGACUGACGCUCAGGCUCGAAAGCGUGGGUAGCAAACAGGAUUAGAUACCCUGGUAGUCCACGCCCUAAACGAUGUCAACUAGACGUUGGGUUCAUUAAAGAACUUAGUGUCGAAGCUAACGCGUUAAGUUGACCGCCUGGGGAGUACGGCCGCAAGGUUG
rnacentral:rRNA from 1 species